rnacentral:snRNA from 1 species
UCGAUCCUUUAGACCUUCGGA